UAAUUGACUAAGGCUAGAUUAUAUGUUAAAGGUGGUUUUAAUUGGAAUAAAACGUUGUUUUAACAAUAUUUACAUAUGACUGGAAAUCGUUUGAGUAUAUAAAGGAUGUUUGUUUACCUUGGGUUAUUUGGAUAACAAAUUGUUGUGAUGGCAUUUAAGGUAGAAUUAUUUUACAAUGGUUUUAAAGGCUAUCUAAGUGUACAGUUCAGAUCUGAGUUUAUUAUUUCAAUGUGUUUUGGAGUCAUGUUUAUUUACACUUAAUGUGUUUUAAUUGAGAAAUAUGAACUCCGGGUGGAAUUGUCAAGUGUUGACAGUCUAUUGGUUAUUGUUGCUAUUUGUGGUAUUGGUUUGAAUUUUGGUUAAGCUUAUAGUGAGUUCCUUGUUUUCAAAUACAUUGGUUUCAUUUUAAAGGAUUUAACUUUGGAUUUUACUCUGGUUGGGUCGGGUUAGACUUGUGUCGCCCGACAUGUUGUGUUAAGCAUAUAGUUGAUAUAUGGCUAACACACUACUCUGAGAUAUGUUGGAUUUCGAAAAGGUGUUGUUGAAUUAUAUUACUCUGGAUUGUUUUUUUGAAAACGAGAACUCACCUAAACUUAACUAGUUAUUGUAUUGGUUGGAUAUGUAUGUACUUUGGCUUUGGGAUUACUGUGUUUCGAAUCUUGAUCUUUGGUUGUGUUAAGAUGCUAGUCCUAUAUGGUGUCUAGUAAUCUUAGAGUUAGGGGUUGUUCAGAUUUUAACAUAUACAUUGUUUUAGACCCGUCGACUGCUCGUGCUUCGGAGUCUACGCAGGGUUAGAUGUUUGCCAAGAUUUACGUGGAUAAGCAAGCACUUUAUGAUUUGAAAGCUGGUCCACUCCGAUUCUUUUGAUUCUUCGGAGGUUUUUAUGUUAUUUAACUAGUUACUGUUUUCGAACUCUUAGACCGCAGUAGAACUAGUUUAUUUAUUACAUCUGAUAUUACACUUUGGAAUUGUCGAUAUAUUCGAUUAUUUA